UUUAAUUCGAUGAUACGCGAGGAACCUUACCUGGGCUAGAAUGCUACCGGACCGGCUGUGAAAGCGGUCUUCCCGCAAGGGCUGGUAGUAAGGUGCUGCAUGGCUGUCGUCAGCUCGUGCCGUGAGGUGUUGGGUUAAGUCCCGCAACGAGCGCAACCCCCAUCUUCAGUUGCCAACAGGUAAUGCUGGGAACUCUGAAGAAACUGCCGCCGUAAGGCGUGAGGAAGGAGGGGAUGAUGUCAAGUCAUCAUGGCCUUUAUGCCCAGGGCUACACACGUGCUACAAUGGGGAGGACAAUGGGUCGCCACCUGGUAACAGGGCGCUAAUCUCAAAAACCUCCUCUCAGUUCAGAUUGAGGUCUGCAACUCGACCUCAUGAAGCUGGAAUCGCUAGUAAUCGCACAUCAGCAAUGGUG
rnacentral:rRNA from 1 species